CCGCGGCCUAUCAGCUUGUUGGUGGGGUAUGGCCUACCAAGGCGACGACGGGUAGCCGGCCUGAGAGGGUGACCGGCCACACUGGGACUGAGACACGGCCCAGACUCCUACGGGAGGCAGCAGUGGGGAAUAUUGCGCAAUGGGCGGAAGCCUGACGCAGCGACGCCGCGUGAGGGAUGACGGCCUUCGGGUUGUAAACCUCUUUCAGUAGGGACGAAGCGGAAGUGACGGUACCUACAGAAGAAGCACCGGCCAACUACGUGCCAGCAGCCGCGGUAAUACGUAGGGUGCAAGCGUUGUCCGGAAUUAUUGGGCGUAAAGAGCUCGUAGGCGGUCUGUCGCGUCGGUCGUGAAA
rnacentral:rRNA from 1 species